AAACUCCCUAAUGGAAACCAUUGUCAAGCUUUCAAUCACUCUUCUUCUUCUUCUUCUUACACUUCUCACCAAAGGUGUUUGUAGUUGUGGUUUGAACAAUAUAACGGUUGGAACAAUAAGGAGUGGUGUAGAAAUAAAGGGAAAGCCAGAGUGGAAUGUGGUUGUGGUGAACAAUUGUGAUUGUCCCAUGCAAAAAAUGGUAUUGUCUUGCAAUGAUUUUCAGACAACAGAGCCAGUGGAUCCAACUAUUUUCAAGCCUUUGGGAAACAAUGAAUGUAGUGUCAACAAUGGCAAUGUCAUACCAGCAAAAAAUACAGUCAACUUCUCUUAUGCUUGGGAUCCUCCUUUUUUCCUAAGGCCAACUUUUGUUACUACUUCCUGUUGAAAAUAUAAAUCCCUAUGUAUGAUGUAGAGGCAAAUUUACUAUAGUUGUUUGAAUUUUAAUGAGAGGGCUUGUACUAUA
rnacentral:misc_RNA from 1 species